AUUGAACGCUGGCGGCAUGCCUAACACAUGCAAGUCGAGCGGAGAUGAGGUGCUUGCACCUUAUCUUAGCGGCGGACGGGUGAGUAAUGCUUAGGAAUCUGCCUAUUAGUGGGGGACAACAUUCCGAAAGGAAUGCUAAUACCGCAUACGUCCUACGGGAGAAAGCAGGGGAUCUUCGGACCUUGCGCUAAUAGAUGAGCCUAAGUCGGAUUAGCUAGUUGGUGGGGUAAAGGCCUACCAAGGCGACGAGCCGUAGCGGGUCUGAGAGGAUGAUCCGCCACACUGGGACUGAGACACGGCCAAGACUCCUACGGGAGGCAGCAGUGGGGAAUAUUGGACAAUGGGGGGAACCCUGAUCCAGCCAUGCCGCGUGUGUGAAGAAGGCCUUAUGGUUGUAAAGCACUUUAAGCGAGGAGGAGGCUACUGAGACUAAUACUCUUGGAUAGUGGACGUUACUCGCAGAAUAAGCACCGGCUAACUCUGUGCCAGCCGCCGCCGUAACAC
rnacentral:rRNA from 1 species